rnacentral:tRNA from 1 species
GUUAGAUUGUCAGAUUUAUGUAUUAAAUUUAGAAUUUAAUUAAGUGAUUAUUGUCACAUCUAAUA